rnacentral:rRNA from 1 species
AACGAACGCUGGCGGCAUGCCUAACACAUGCAAGUCGAACGAUGCCUUCGGGCAUAGUGGCGCACGGGUGCGUAACGCGUGGGAAUCUGCCCUUGGGUUCGGAAUAACUCAGAGAAAUUUGAGCUAAUACCGGAUGAUGACGUAAGUCCAAAGAUUUAUCGCCCAAGGAUGAGCCCGCGUAAGAUUAGCUAGUUGGUGGGGUAAAGGCCUACCAAGGCGACGAUCUUUAGCUGGUCUGAGAGGAUGAUCAGCCACACUGGGACUGAGACACGGCCCAGACUCCUACGGGAGGCAGCAGUGGGGAAUAUUGGACAAUGGGCGAAAGCCUGAUCCAGCAAUGCCGCGUGAGUGAUGAAGGCCUUAGGGUUGUAAAGCUCUUUUACCAGGGAUGAUAAAUGACAGUACCUGGAGAAUAAGCUCCGGCUAACUCCGUG